GUGAAGGGGACAGGGCACAGAGCCGUGCGAAGCCCCACACUGGCAUUCACCUCAGGCUGAUGACAGUGGCAGUGCGCAGGGGCGCUGCAGGAGGCCGGGGAAGGCGAGGUCACAACAGGCACAAUAGGGAGUCGUUGCCAGGCAACCUCUCUAGGCUUCUGUUGUGAUUCUGCUUUAGUUGGGUCUGGGGGGGUCUCUCUGGAGAGUGGCUAUAAAUGCUAGCCUUUGUGCUGGGCAGCAAAGCAAAUCAUCGGGAAUAACCCGGGAGCCUGGCAGGGAAACCGCUGCACUAUGGAGAGGACGCUUCCAGAUACAGAGGACAAAUCAAGUGAAGGGACGGAACAGGUCACACCCAGAGCGGCACAGAGGUCCUUGGUCAUUGGAUUCAGGACCCACCUUACUCCAGCAUGACUUCAUCAUCA
rnacentral:lncRNA from 10 species